UACGAAGGGUGCAAGCGUUACUCGGAAUUACUGGGCGUAAAGCGUGCGUAGGUGGUUUGUUAAGUCUGUUGUGAAAGCCCCGGGCUCAACCUGGGAAUGGCAAUGGAUACUGGCAGGCUAGAGUGCGGUAGAGGGUAGUGGAAUUCCCGGUGUAGCGGUGAAAUGCGUAGAGAUCGGGAGGAACACCAGUGGCGAAGGCGGCUACCUGGACCAGCACUGACACUGAGGCACGAAAGCGUGGGGAGCAAACCGG
rnacentral:rRNA from 1 species